rnacentral:rRNA from 1 species
ACCGUACUCCUACGGGAGGCAGCAGAGGGGAAUUUUGGACAAUGGGGGCAACCCUGAUCCAGCAAUGCCGCGUGAGUGAAGAAGGCAUUCGGGUUGUAAAGCUCUUUUGUCAGGGAAGAAACGGUAGUAGCUAAUAUCUAUUACUAAUGACGGUACCUGAAGAAUAAGCACCGGCUAACUACGUGCCAGCAGCCGCGGUAAUACGUAGGGUGCAAGCGGUAAUCGGAAUUACUGGGCGUAAAGCGUGCGCAGGCGGUUGUGUAAGUCAGAUGUGAAAUCCCCGGGCUCAACCUGGGAAUUGCAUUUGAGACUGCACGGCUAGAGUGUGUCAGAGGGGGGUAGGAUUCCACGUGUAGCAGUGAAAUGCGUAGAUAUGUGGAGUAAUACCGAUGGCGAAGGCAGCCCCCUGGUAUAACACUGACGCUCAUGCACGAAAGCGUGGGGAGCAAACAGGAUUAGAUACCCGUGUAGUCCUUGAC